rnacentral:tRNA from 1 species
GGGGCCUUGGCGCAAUUGGUAGCGCACCUGCUUUGCAAGCAGGCUCCCACAACUUCAUACUCCCGGUCUCG